GAUUAUAAGGUGAUUACCGACUCCACGGACUUAACUUUUUUUUAACCUCUUACGAAUCUCGCGCACGUCACCGGAUUGUUCACGGCCAUGUUCAAAUCCACGAACGCCACGCCUCACGUCCGAAUCAACGAACGCCACUCGAAUCCUCGACGAGCCCACGAUCUGAAUCCACGAAUCGCCUUGAUCAUGCCGAAUCCACGACGCCGCACAUGAAGAGUAAAUUCAUGUUUCUAUGGUGAUCCUUUGCUUAGAAAGUAGUUGAAGAACCAGAGAAAAAUCUCCAAGAAAAACUUAGAUCAAUUCGACAUAUAAAUAUUGAAUUGCAAUAUCUCGAAAAACUUAGAUCAAUUCGACAUAUAAAUAUUGAAUUGCAAUAUCUCGAAUUGACCUAAACAAGGCUAUUUUGUGGAAAAUGAUUUAGGACGAAAAACCUAGCCUCUAAGGUUACUCUUUCAUGUAUUCUCUAUACUUCUUCGUAAUAGAGAACUCUAAUAUCUUAUUUAUAGACUUUAGAAUCAAUUAAAGUCGGAUUAGAAAGUAUAUUAGAAAAUUUUAUAUUGAGUACCGGUACUCGGAUGUGGGUACCGGUACACCAUGAUGAAACGAAAAUUUCCUACUGCCGAGUACCGGUACUCGGCCGAUGCAGUACCGGUACUAAGGCUUGGUACCGGUAGACAAUACAAUUCCAGUAUUGUUGCUCUCGGAUUUUGUGGAACCAAAUGUGGGGUAUCAGUACACAAUAUAAAAACUCAGAUUUUUCAAUUCGAUUUUGAGGAACUGGAACCUGGUACUGGUACUCAAUUAAAAAUAUUAUUACAUUCAAUUUAAAAGUUUUAAAAAUCACUUCUAAUCCAUGUAUCAUUAGUUUAUAUGAUUCUAACGUCAUAAAUAGAUAUGAAUCACCAUAAAGACAUUUAAAAAACUUACCUGAGUAUCGUGAUUCAUACGUUGAGAUGUUUUUGAGUUCUCGGAAUCUCGGAUUCUUCAAUUUUUGACAAUCACGAACCGAACCCUUCAAGACUCUGACUCAAAUCACGAAAUUUGCCAAUACAAAAUUCAUAACACAAACAACCAAUUAUUGCUGACUCUACUAUGGAAGCAGAGUAUAUCGUCGCAUCUAAAGCUGCAAAGAGCCUUCUGAUCAAAAAAUUUGUCGCGGAACUAGGUGUGAUGCCAUCCGAUGCCAUACCACUCUAUUACGACAACAAUUGCCCCAUAGCCCUAGCUACGGAGCCCAUAUCUCAUCAGAAGUCCAAACAUAUAGAGCGGCGUUUCAUAUUAUAUGCGAUUACCUCGACAAGAAAUACAUUGAGAUGCAGAGAGUAGACUCAACGGAUAACGCGGGAGACCCAUUGACUAAACCACUUAGCUAACAGAAGACUGAUGUCCACCUUGAGAAGAAGGGGCUUAAAUAUAUGGCUGAUUGGCUUUAGUGCAAGUGGAAGAUUGUUAGAUGUACGCCCAAGAAGCCAACCACACUAUAACAAAUAAGGAUUGUUCCAGCAGUUUUUUAGCCAGCAGUUAAGCUAACUGCUGCUAAAACUAUAUUAUACCAGUAUUUUUUAUUUUUUCUGUAACAUUUAGUAAAUCGCUGGUAUAGUGGUAAUAAUUUUUAAUUGCACAAAUAAUAUUGGGCCUCAUUUUAUUAGCUUAUUUUAUCAAUUGGGCCAACAAUUGGGCCAAUAUUGGAUUUGAAAAGCCAUGGACCUCCAUAUGAAGAUACUAAUUAAUUAGAUCUGAGCUCUCCAUCUCUCUCUCUCUCUCUCUCUCUCUCUCUCUCUCUCUCUCUCUUUUCAAAUCGGAGCUUCUCCACGCACUGAGAGCUUCGAGCUCGAUCUCUCUCUCGAUCUCUCUCCACCGCGAGCUUCUCAAAUCGGAGCUUCUCCAUCGCGAGCUUCUCCACCGCGAGCUUCAAGUCUCUCUCCCUCAAAUCGGAGCUUCUCCACUGCGAGCUUCGAGAGAUUGGGAUUUUCGGAUCUACACAGAGAUUGGUCUUCUUCGAACGAUUUACCCAAAAAUUUUGGGCUAUUUGGUGCUAAAUCGACCUCAAUCCAGUUCUGUAAGAAAGGGUUUCACCAAUUUCAGCUGAUUCUAUAGCAUAAUAGCAGAGAUGGUAAAGGUGCAAGUGCAUUGGAGCAGCAAGGAUUUCAAGCUACUGAAACUGCCCAACAUCGCAAGCGACGUCGCCUUCGAAAAAGUUUUGGACAGACUAAAUGUGGAUAUGAAAAUCAUCUAAAAUAAUCAUAGAAGAUUGAAGCAACAAGCGGGAUUUGAUGUUCUGCAUUUCAAGAACGUUCAGCUGGAGCUCACUCUCCAUUUUCUUAGCUUUCUAACAUUUCGAGUUCAAAUAAAUUUUCUUUUGCAUUGAUUUCUAUUAAUAUAAAAAAUUGUUUCGUUGUAUUUUGUCAUUGCUACAUAUUAUGAUUUUACCAUCUUGUAGUUUUGUUGCAAACAUUUGUACUAUUUUGUUAUAGACUUCUCUAUUUCAAUUUAGUAAUAUAACUCUCAUUUUUUUGGAUA